UACGUAGGGUGCAAGCGUUGUCCGGAAUUAUUGGGCGUAAAGAGCUCGUAGGCGGUCUGUCGCGUCGGCUGUGAAAACCCGAGGCUCAACCUCGGGCCUGCAGUCGAUACGGGCAAACUAGAGUACUGCAGGGGAGACUGGAAUUCCUGGUGUAGCGGUGAAAUGCGCAGAUAUCAGGAGGAACACCGGUGGCGAAGGCGGGACUCUGGGCCGAUACUGACGCUGAUGAGCGAAAGCGUGGGGAGCAAACAGG
rnacentral:rRNA from 1 species